rnacentral:rRNA from 1 species
UGGAGAAUUUUGGACAAUGGGCGAAAGCCUGAUCCAGCCAUGCCGCGUGAGUGAAGAAGGCCUUCGGGUUGUAAAGCUCUUUUAGUCGGAAAGAAAAGAUCAUAAUGAACAAUUAUGAUUCAUGACGGUACCGACAGAAAAAGCACCGGCUAACUACGUGCCAGCAGCCGCGGUAAUACGUAGGGUGCGAGCGUUAAUCGGAAUUACUGGGCGUAAAGGGUGCGCAGGCGGUUUUGUAAGUCAGAUGUGAAAUCCCCGGGCUUAACCUGGGAAUUGCGUUUGAAACUGCAAGACUAGAGUGCAGCAGAGGGGAGUGGAAUUCCAUGUGUAGCAGUGAAAUGCGUAGAGAUGUGGAAGAACACCGAUGGCGAAGGCAGCUCCCUGGGUUGACACUGACGCUCAUGCACGAAAGCGUGGGGAGCAAACA